CCUACGGGGGGCAGCAGUGAGGAAUAUUGGUCAAUGGGCGCGAGCAUGAACCAGCCACGUCGCGUGAGUGAAGACGGUCCUAUGGAUUGUAAACCUCUUUUGUCGGGGAGCAAAAGACGCCUCGCGUGGCGUUCCGAGAGUACCCGAAUAAAUAGCAUCGGCUAACUCCGUGCCAGCAGCCGCGGUAAUACGGGGGAUGCGAGCGUUAUCCGGAUUUAUUGGGUUAAAAGGGUGCGCAGGCGGAAGAUCAAGUCAGCGGUAAAAUUGAGAGGUUCAACCUCUUCGAGCCGUUGAAACUGGUUAUCUUGAGUGAGUGAGAGGUAUGCGGAAUGCGUGGUGUAGCGGUGAAAUGCAUAGAUAUCACGCAGAACUCCGAUUGCGAAGGCAGCAUACCGGCGCUCAACUGACGCUCAUGCACGAAAGUGUGGGUAUCGAACAGGAUUAGAUACCCGGGUAGUC
rnacentral:rRNA from 1 species